rnacentral:rRNA from 1 species
AUUGAACGCUGGCGGCAGGCUUAACACAUGCAAGUCGAGCGAGCGGCGGACGGGUGAGUAAUGUCUGGGAAACUGCCUGAUGGAGGGGGAUAACUACUGGAAACGGUAGCUAAUACCGCAUACCAUCAGAUGUGCCCAGAUGGGAUGAGCUAGUAGGUGGGGUAAUGGCUCACCUAGGAGACGAUCCCUAGCUGGUCUGAGAGGAUGACCAGCCACACUGGACCUGCGACACGGUUCAGGCUCCUACGGGAGGCAGCAGUGGGGCAUAGUGCACCACGGGCGCAAGCCUGAUGCAGCCAUGCCGCGUGGUUGAAGAAGGCCUUCGGGUUGUAAAGUACUUUCAGCGUGGAGGCGUUACUCGCAGAAGAAGCACCGGCUAACUCCGUGCCAGCAGCCGCGGUAAUUC